rnacentral:rRNA from 1 species
GAUGAACGCUGGCGGCAUGCUUUACACAUGCAAGUCGGACGGGAAGUGGUGUUUCCAGUGGCGGUCGGGUGAGUAACGCGUAAGAACCUGCCCUUGGGAGGGGAACAACAGCUGGAAACGGCUGCUAAUACCCCGUAGGCUGAGGAGCGAAAGGAGGAAUCCGCCCAAGGAGGGGCUCGCGUCUGAUUAGCUAGUUGGUGAGGUAAUAGCUUACCAAGGCCGUGAUCAGUAGCUGGUCCGAGAGGAUGAUCAGCCACACUGGGACUGAGACAAGGCCCAGAGUGCGACGGGAGGCAGAAGUGGGGAAUAGUGGACAAUGGGCGAAAGACUGAAGGAGCAAGACCGCGUGGGUGAAGAAGGUCUUCGGGGUGUAAAACACUGUGGGUGGGGAAGAAAAGAAGCAGGUUAAUACGUGGAGGGCAUGACGGUAACUAAAGAAGAAGCAACGGCUAACUUCGUG